UGGGGAAUAUUGCACAAUGGAGGGAACUCUGAUGCAGCGACGCCGCGUGAGUGAUGAAGGAAUUCGUUUCGUAAAACUCUGUUCUAUGGGAAGAAAAGGACUGUACCAUAGGAGAAAGCUCCGGCUAAAUACGUGCCAGCAGCCGCGGUAAUACGUAUGGAGCGAGCGUUGUCCGGAAUUAUUGGGCGUAAGGGGUGCGCAGGCGGCUUUACAAGUUGGAUGUGAAAUAUUGUGGCUCAACCACAAACGUGCAUCCAAAACUGCAAAGCUUGAGUUAAGGAGAGGUAAGUGGAAUUCCUGGUGUAGCGGUGGAAUGCGUAGAUAUCAGGAGGAAUACCGGUGGCGAAGGCGACUUACUGGACUUAAACUGACGCUCAGGCACGAAAGCGUGGGGAGCAAACAGG
rnacentral:rRNA from 1 species